rnacentral:pre_miRNA from 1 species
AAAAUGGUGAGAGGAUUGAGAGGUGUUUCCCACAGGGCUCUGGGGACCCCUCGGGGCUCGCCCCACA